GACGAACGCUGGCGGCGUGCUUAACACAUGCAAGUCGAACGAGAGCGUAGAGAAAGCUUGCUUUUUCUACAAUCUAGUGGCAAACGGGUGAGUAACGCGCAAACAACCUGCCCUACGGAUGGGGACAACAGCUGGAAACGGCUGCUAAUACCGAAUACGUUCCGAAAGUCGCAUGACUAUCGGAAGAAAGGAUGGCCUCUAUUUAUAAGCUAUCGCCGGAGGAGGGGUUUGCGUCUGAUUAGCUAGUUGGAGGGGUAACGGCCCACCAAGGCGACGAUCAGUAGCCGGUCUGAGAGGAUGAACGGCCACAUUGGAACUGAGACACGGUCCAGACUCCUACGGGAGGCAGCAGUGGGGAAUCUUCCGCAAUGGGCGAAAGCCUGACGGAGCAACGCCGCGUGAGUGAAGACGGCCUUCGGGUUGUAAAGCUCUGUUAUACGGGACGAAUAAUCUUGUGGUUAAUACCCAUGAGAAGUGACGGUACCGUAAGAGAAAGCCACGGCUAACUACGUG
rnacentral:rRNA from 1 species